ACUUAGUGGCAGACGGGUGAGUAACAUGUGGGUAUCUACCCUUUGGCCUGGAAUAACACGAGGAAACUUGUGCUAAUACCGGAUAAGUCUUUACGGAGAAAGCUUUAUGCACCAUUGGAUGAGCCCGCACUUGAUUAGUUUGUUGGUAGGGUAAUGGCCUACCAAGACUAUGAUCAAUAGCUGAUUUGAGAGGAUGAUCAGCCACAUUGGGACUGAGACACGGCCCAAACUCCUACGGGAGGCAGCAGUGGGGAAUCUUGCACAAUGGAGGAAACUCUGAUGCAGCGAUGCCGCGUGAGUGAAGAAGGCCUUUGGGUUGUAAAGCUCUUUCGUCGGGGAAGAAAAUGACUGUACCCGAAUAAGAAGGUCCGGCUAACUUCGUGCCAGCAGCCGCGGUAAUACGAAGGGACCUAGCGUAGUUCGGAAUUACUGGGCUUAAA
rnacentral:rRNA from 1 species